CCUGAAGUGGUCACGACAGCGGAAAUUCGCCAACUUCCAACACAGACUAAAGAGCCACCUCGUCAGAUUCCAGCUGGGUUCCCAUCCCAUCCCCGCCAUGUCCCACUCCCACCUUUUACAGCUGGACACACCGAUCCCGCCCAGCCGCGGGCAGACGUAGUUCCACACGCCGAUGCUUCCGCGUCGGAUCCGCUGGCCCACUGCCAGCUCCAGGAAGAAGAGCGGGAUCCCGAUGAGGAUGAGGAGGAUGAAGUAUGGCACCAGCUCCACAGCAGAGACCUUCAAAUCAUCAACUCUGCGGGCUAACGAAGGGUGGCAUGUUCGGUGACAUCCGAUAUGUACAUGAAAUAUGCAGGAUUUCCUCUCUAUGUAUUGACUAGAUGCUUGGAAAUUUUUAAUUAGCAAAUUAGUAAGAUAAUAACAUUUUUAAAUCCAGUAUUAUGAAAAAUGCAGUAAUAUAAAACUAUAACUAAGUAUCCACUCUUUGACUUCUGGUUAUGUUGUGAGGCUUUUGGGCACAAUAAUGUAUAAUACGAAACUGAAGGGGGUUUUGACAGAGAUUUUAAUGCAUUGAUGCCAGCAUGUAGCAGAACAUCCCAGGGCUGCCCAACCCAGUUCCUGGAGAUCUACCACCCUGAAGGUUUUCAUUUCAACCCUAAUGUGGCAAAUCUGACUCUACUAAUUAGCAGCUGAACAAAAUCUCUAGCUGUUGAGUGAGGUGUGCUUCGUUAUUUCUGGAGGAUGGUGUAUCUCCAGGAACAGGGUUGGCUAUCGCUCUCCUACAGGCAAACUCACACCACAAAAAAAGGCUGCCUUCAGUGAGAAAUUCUGAACCAAAUCAGAUCAUGUCACAUUUUGGGAGAAGUACUGCAGCCCUGGGGAAGAGCUUGAUAGGUGUGAACUGUUGGAUUGUAUUCUCAGUAAGUAGACAGCUAGUUAACAAACAUAAUAAAGUCGUUCUAAGAGCAACUGAUAAAUGCCUAAAUGUAAAUGUAUAAUUGUGAAUUUCAGAAAACCUUGAAAAUUGCUGAGUGAAUAAAGUA